UUCGGACCAGGCUUCAUUCCCCC
rnacentral:siRNA from 1 species